GAUUAGAUUUUUAUUUUAAAAAAUGCUCUAGUUAAACAGGAAUUAAUUUAGGGGGAUCAAACUUUGAUCACACUAGUCCAUCCAUUCUGGCCUUGUAUCACAUGAUCUUGACUCCAUUGUCCUUCCAAACUAACAAGAGUUUUACCUUGCCAAUUCAGGGCUGUGCAGGGUCAGUAGCUGCAUAGAGCCCAAGGAAGGAAGUUUGUGUUCCUAGCAAGAGGAAGGCAUGCCAGUACUUUGGAUGGAGAACAGUGUCUGAAGACCCUAAGGUGAAGUGCCGGGACACCAAGGGAAGAGGCUGAGGGAAGCACAGCAGUGAUAGGGAGUUAAGGAGACAUACAACAUGGCUAUUAUUGACAGGGUCCCUGGGUUGGGACCAGGAGUAGUUUGCAGGCCUGGGUCCUCACCACUGGAAUUGGCUGGACAGUUGGACUGCAGUACUAACCUGCAGAAAGGGGGAGUACAGAUGGUGACAUGCCCAGAGGGCUGUGUCAUGAAGAAGAUGCCACAGUCCCUACAGUGACAUGGGUCAGAGAGCAGAAGUGACAGUGGGCAAGGCACCAUGGGGAGAAGGAGCACCGACCUAAACAGCUAGUCUCCAAGAUGGCAAGGAGGGGUAUGGUGAGUCACACCCCGUCAUACUGUGGUAAAUUGUUCUAAUGGUUAACUACCUGCACUGUUAAAAAUGUAUGCCUGGCCCUCAUGCAGGUAUAUGAGAGGGGGAACAGGCAGAAUCUUUAGGUAGGUCCCUCAGUGUAUCAGUCAGUACAAAUGAAGUGGAGCAUCAGGCUUAGAGGUGGUUUUGGUUACUUUACCCAGUGGAGCAGGAUGAGAACUAGCAACCAGAUUGUGACUCUGGUUCACAGUCUAGUUCCAGCUGUGUUCCUGGGGCAGUGCAACCCUGUAUCUUGCAUGAAGUUUGUGACACUGCCAAAACUUAGCUCUUUGCAUUCUAGAAUAAUUGUGGUUGUUUCUGAGAAGAUGACUUUAUGAAAGAUAAAGGUUCUAAACAUGUACCAUUACAAUAUAUGUUCUCUAGAAGGAAGACAGCAUUAUUCUUUCAUAUUAUUUAAACAGCUGUUCUCUUUCAGAUGGAGAGGUAAUCUGUGCUGUUCCAGUGCCAAAGAGUCUUAGGACAUAUAACAGCACUUCAGUUUAGCACCUCUCUGUAUGGUGUUUUUAUGUCUUAGAAGCCAUAUCCUCAGCUAGUGUAUAUCAGCAUAGCUCCACUGAAGUCAAUGGAGCUGCAUCAGUUUACAAGAAGAGGGAAUCUGGCUCUAAAUAUGCACGGUUAUUUUCCCACUUAUUUAUGGAAUUUCUGACAGAUUCAGAUAAUUACAGCUAUUCCACUUCUGAAGCAUCCAACCUACCUUAUCUACAAUAUUUAAAUUCCCAACAUGUUGCACUGUUUUGAGUCUCACCAAAAUAAAUCAAAGAUGCCACAAUAUAUGUCCAGAUUUUUCCCUAUGGCAAAUUUUCCUAGCAGUGAAACAGUAUAGUUUUAUAAACAUGUUUUACCAUGAGAGGCAGUGCAAUUCAGUAGUUAAAGCAAUGGACUGGGAAUCAGAAGACCUGAGUUCUCUGCUACUGACUUACUGGGUGAUCUUGAUCAAGUCAGUCUAUCUUUGUUUCCCUUCCUCCUUUUGUCUUGUCUAUUUAGACUAACUUCUUUGGGGCAGGAAGUGUCUCUUACGUAUGCAUGUACAAUGCUUAGCACAAUGGGGCUCUGAUCUCAUUUGGUGUCUAGGCGCUAUUGUAAUAGAAAUAAUAAUUACAACGUAGUAAGAGGCAGUUUAAUAAAACAUGUUAUUCCUAAGUGAAAGCUACUUAAAUGAUUUGGCUGGGGGGUUGGUAUUAACUUACUGUAAUUACAAUGAGUAAAAAAAAGUUAUUCAAAAGUGACUAACCCCUUAAUUAUAGUCUUCUUGCUGUCAAAACCAUGCUGUGUUUGCUAGUAUGUAUCUAUUGUAGAAGCCAUUGGAAACUGAACUAGCACCACUGGCGCAUAGCACUACAUAUAAAGCAUGUUAGCCUCAGUCCAAGUAGAAAGCGCAUGUUUAAAAAGAAAAAAACAAAAC